rnacentral:rRNA from 1 species
GUAGGUGGCAAGCGUUGUCCGGAAUUAUUGGGCGUAAAGCGCGCGCAGGCGGUCCUUUAAGUCUGAUGUGAAAGCCCACGGCUCAACCGUGGAGGGUCAUUGGAAACUGGGGGACUUGAGUACAGAAGAGGAAAGCGGAAUUCCAAGUGUAGCGGUGAAAUGCGUAGAGAUUUGGAGGAACACCAGUGGCGAAGGCGGCUUUCUGGUCUGUAACUGACGCUGAGGCGCGAAGCGUGGGGAGCAAACAGGAUUAGAUACCCUGGUAGUCCACGCCGUAAACGAUGAGUGCUAAGUGUUAGGGGGUUUCCCGCCCCCCUUAGUGCUGCAGCUAACGCAUUAAGCACUCCGCCUGGGGAGUACGGCCGCAAGGCUG